rnacentral:lncRNA from 1 species
ACAAGUACAACGAAAGUCUAGCUGUAGAAUUGUUCAUAGCCAGGGAAGCUAACAAAAACUUUUUCGAUAAUUGUUCAAUCUCAAAGAUAAACGAGUUCUCCAAAUUUAUUGCAUGUAUUGUUCAAACUGGAUAUUUUGGAGCGUUAGCAGUCUGCAUUAAGGAAGUUCUAAAAGAAGAAAAGGCAGCAGAUCAAACUCCAUGCCAGUAGUCCAGACUCUAUGUUCAACACAUGCCUAGAAGUCUCCUGUAACCAAAAACCAAAAAGAUCCACGGCUUGGCGCGCUGCAGAGGAAUAUGAAAUAAUGGCUGGAGGCCUGCUUGUAACAUUGCUGGGACCGAAAAACAAGGGUGUACAAUUGAGUUAGGAAUGCAGACGGACCCGCGGAGCGCAGGUCAAGAGGAAGGUGGAUUUGCCGGCAGCGACUUAAUAGCGAAG